rnacentral:rRNA from 1 species
AGCUCUUCUAGUGGUGUGGAUGUUUAUUGGGCCUAAAGCAUCCGUAGCUGGCUAAGUUAGUCCCUUGUUAAAUCCACCGAAUUAAUCGUUGGAUCGCGGGGGAUACUGCUUGGCUAGGGGACGAGAGAGGCAGACAGUAUUUUCGGGGUAGGGGUGAAAUCCUAUAAUCCCGGGAAGACCACCAGUGGCGAAGGCUGUCUGCUAGAACGCGCCCGACGGUGAGGGAUGAAAGCUGGGGGAGCGAACC